rnacentral:rRNA from 1 species
AUUGAACGCUGGCGGCAGGCCUAACACAUGCAAGUCGAGCGGAUGAAGGGAGCUUGCUCCUGGAUUCAGCGGCGGACGGGUGGGUAAUGCCUAGGAGUCUGCCUGGUCUAGGGGGCUAACGUCCGUAAACGGGCGCUAAUACCGCAUACGUCCUGAUGGAGAACGUGGGGGAUCUUCGGACCUCACGCUAUCAGAUGAGCCUAGGUCGCAUUAGCUAGUUGGUGGGGUAAAGGCCUACCAAGGCGACGAUCCGUAACUGGUCUGAGAGGAUGAUCAGUCACACUGGAACUGAGACACGGUCCAGACUCCUACGGGAGGCAGCAGUGGGGAAUAUUGGACAAUGGGCGAAAGCCUGAUCCAGCCAUGCCGCGUGUGUGAAGAAGGUCUUCGGAUUGUAAAGCACUUUAAGUUGGGAGGAAGGGCAGUAAGUUAAUACCUUGCUGUUUUGACGUUACCAACAGAAUAAGCACCGGCUAACUUCGUG